UACACUAGGAAGCUUGCAAAGCACUAGCCUUUUAAGCUAGAGAAGAGUGUAAACUCCCAGGUGA
rnacentral:tRNA from 1 species